ensembl:lncRNA
GUAACGAUGUCUGUCAGGCUGUUUGAGCUAACUGAUGUAAUAUUCCAUCUGAUUGCAAACACGUGGAGAUUAUUUAUUUGUUUGUUUGUUUGUUUGUUUCCCUCAGUAGAAUAAAGAGAUUUUCAUUGUUUGUGAGGUGGACGUGUGGAGUAAAGAUGUAGAUUUGCUCUCAUGGUACACCUCCACAGCUUAACAAGAGUCAGGGAGUACAGGACUGUUUUAGUUUCAUUUACAAAAGGAGAGCAGACAAAGACCAUGUUGACUAUGCCCCAUUUUUUUGGAAAUAAUUCAGUGUUUAAAAUGUACUUCCUCAUGUGCCUCAAGAAGAGAGUGUGGGAGAGAUCAUAGUCUGUGCUUCUGCACAAGGGCAAGAAGAGUUUGCAAUGAACUAUUAGGUGAUAGUUAUCAUUCAGGGGUAGUGAGCCUGCCAUUAUAUUAACCUGCUGCUGUUUCACCGGCAUUCCUCAGUGAAAAUCAGGCCAUACACGGGAGGUAGUGCUUACAUAAAUAAUGUUUCUCCCUAUGUUUUAAAGGCUUAACACAUACUCUAUAUCCUUCUGUAGCAGUCUUCUCUUCCAACUAGUAUAUCACCGUAGUGACUCUAUACCGUGUGCAUGGAAGUACUGUACAUAAAACUUAUUUUGUACUCAACAGGAAAGCUAAAGUAUUGCAGACUCUUGGGAUACAGAAACCCAUUUCUCUGGGGGUUCUGAAUACUUUUGUUUGAUAAUAUGAUAAGCAUAUGAAAAUAAAGCCUAAUUAACAUUGUGGAAUAAAAUGUACAGUAAAUGGUGUUUGUAUAUCUCAAUGAUAAACAGGAUAUUUUAUGUCAUAGUGUGUGAACAGUGUGUGCUAAAUGUUGCUUUUAAUUAAACAAUAAAGAAUAUAACAACC